rnacentral:sRNA from 1 species
AUGAUCUUCUUCUUCUUCUUCUUCUUUCUUCGGCAACCUUUGUGU